rnacentral:rRNA from 1 species
GAUGAACGCUGGCGGCGUGCCUAAUACAUGCAAGUAGAACGCUGAAGGAGGAGCUUGCUCUUCUGGAUGAGUUGCGAACGGGUGAGUAACGCGUAGGUAACCUGCCUGGUAGCGGGGGAUAACUAUUGGAAACGAUAGCUAAUACCGCAUGACAACAGUUAUUGCAUGAUAACUGUUUAAAAGGGGCAACUGCUCCACUACCAGAUGGAGCUGCGUUGUAUUAGCUAGUUGGUGAGGUAACGGCUCACCAAGGCGACGAAACAUAGCGGACCUGAGAGGGGGAUGGCCAAAACGGGACUGGGAAAAGGCCCAGAACCCUAAGGGAAGGAGCAGGAGGGGAACUUCGGAAAAGGGGGGAAAGCCGACCGCGGAACGACGGGUGGGGGAAAGAAGGUUUCGGGUCGGAAAAGUCUGUUGUUAGGGAAAGAAGAGUGUGAGAGUGGAAAGUUCACGCUGUGACGGUAUCUAACCAGAAAGCGACGGCUAACUACGUG